rnacentral:rRNA from 1 species
AUACGAAGGGUGCAAGCGUUGUUCGGAUUUACUGGGCGUAAAGCGCGCGCAGGCGGAUUGCUAAGUCAGAUGUGAAAUCUCGGGGCUCAACCUCGAAACUGCGUCUGAAACUGGUAAUCUAGAGUAUCGGAGGGGGAAGUGGAAUUUCGCAUGUAGGGGUAAAAUCCGUAGAGAUGCGAAGGAACACCAGUGGCGAAGGCGACUUCCUGGACGAUCACUGACGCUGAGGCGCGAAAGCGUGGGUAGCAAACAGGAUUAGAAACCCUAGUAGUCC